AGUAACCACUUAAUAGCUGCACAAUGCGCUCCAACUAUGCUUUGGUUGAAAAGCAUCUACUAAGCCACCCUUCCAAAAUGCAUUAAGUUCUUUGUGAAACUGACGGUGAUGGAACUUAAAAAAUCACAGACUUUAUAAUUCACAAAGGUAUGUACACAUUUACCGCAGAAAUGUUCUCAUUUUUAUAUUAUUCAUGAUGCCAUAGGUUUUAAUAUCUCUUUUUUCAUUUCCUCUACGUUGAGCAAUGAAUGCCGGUCAUGUGAUUUUGGCUGCUACCUACUCCCUGCCCCAUUGUGAAACUACGGACAUGGCUUAAAUAAUUAGAUUUCCUAACAUACCUCAAUUAUGCGUGCAAUUAAGUCUGCAGUGUAGCAUUUUUAAUAUCUUCAUAUUGUCUGUAGUGACCGCAGUUAGUCUUCGCCAGCUGCUGGCUUCAAUUUCUCCUAAAUCUGUAUGUUCUGAUAUAAAGAUUAAUGAACCUGCUCAUGUGAUAGCUCACGUGUGAAGGGAAGUGUCCGUCUA